GACGAACGCUGGCGGCGUGCCUAAUACAUGCAAGUCGAGCGAAGCGGCGGAUGGGUGAAUAACGCGUGGGUAACCUGUCCUUAAGUCUGGGAUACCAUUUGGAAACAGAUGCUAAUACCGGAUACUAAAGGAUGGACUUGGGAUGCAUUAGCUAGUUGGUAAGGUAACGGCUUACCAAGGCGAUGAUGCAUAGCCGGUUUGAGAGGCUGACCAGCCACAUUGGGACUGAGACACGGCCCAGACUCCUACGGGAGGCAGCAGUAGGGAAUCUUCCACAAUGGGCGAAAGGCUGAUGGAGCAACGCCGCGUGAGUGAAGAAGGUGUUCGGGUCGUAAAGCUCUGUUGUUGGUGAAGCGGUAAUCGACCAAAAAGUCACGGCUAACUACGUGCCAGCAGCCGCGGUAAUUC
rnacentral:rRNA from 1 species